rnacentral:rRNA from 1 species
UACGUAGGGUGCGAGCGUUGUCCGGAAUUAUUGGGCGUAAAGAGCUUGUAGGCGGUUUGUUGCGUCUGCUGUGAAAAUCCGGGGCUCAACCCCGGACUUGCAGUGGGUACGGGCAGACUAGAGUGUGGUAGGGGAGAUCGGAAUUCCUGGUGUAGCGGUGAAAUGCGCAGAUAUCAGGAGGAACACCGGUGGCGAAGGCGGAUCUCUGGGCCGUAACUGACGCUGAGGAGCGAAAGCAUGGGGAGCGAACAGG